AUGUGAGAUUCUGCCCUAGAUUGGAAAUGGGCACCAGGCUCUACUUCUGUGUGGCUCUUUGUUUCCUGUGCACAGGACAUGUGGAUUCUAGUGCUGGAAUCACUCAGAGCCCAAACAAGAUCACAGGGACAGGGAAGAGGGUGACUCUAACAUGUCACCAGACUCAGAACCAUGACUAUAUGUACUGGUAUCGACAAGACCUGGGACAUGGGCUGAGGCUGCUCCAUUACUCACGUGCUGCUGGUUUCACUGAAAAGGGAGAUGUUCCCGAUGGGUACAAUGUCUCUAGAACAAAUACAGAGAACUUUUCCCUCAUGCUGGAGUCCGCUACCCCCUCCCAGACAUCUGUGUACUUCUGUGCCAGCAGUUACUCCACAGCAAUGCACAGCUGA